GGGUCAGUAGUUCAGUUGGAAGAACGCUUCAUUAGCACUGAAGAGGUCACGGGUCCGAAUCCCGUCUGUAUCCA
rnacentral:tRNA from 1 species